rnacentral:rRNA from 1 species
UACGUAGGGUGCGAGCGUUGUCCGGAAUUAUUGGGCGUAAAGAGCUCGUAGGCGGUGUGUCACGUCGGCCGUGAAAACCUGGGGCUUAACUCUGGGCGUGCGGUCGAUACGGGAAUCACUAGAGUUCGGCAGGGGAGACUGGAAUUCCUGGUGUAGCGGUGGAAUGCGCAGAUAUCAGGAGGAACACCGGUGGCGAAGGCGGGUCUCUGGGCAGUAACUGACGCUGAGGAGCGAAAGCGUGGGGAGCGAACAGG